rnacentral:rRNA from 1 species
GCUUACGGCCAUACACCCUGAACACGCCCGAUCUCGUCUGAUCUCGGAAGCUAAGCAGGGUCGGGCCUGGUCAGUACUUGGAUGGGAGACCGCCUGGGAAUACCAGGUGCUGUAAGCU